rnacentral:rRNA from 1 species
ACCUCAAGUCAUGUGAGAGUACCCGCUGAACUUAAGCAUAUCAAUAAGCGGAGGAAAAGAAACUAACAAGGAUUCCCCUAGUAACGGCGAGUGAAGCGGGAAGAGCACAAAUUUAAAAUCUACCUGGUUUUCAGGUCGAGUUGUAAUUUGAAGAUACGUUUUUGAUGUUCCUGGUUGAACUAAAUCCUUUGGGAUAAGGUAUCAUAGAGGGUGAGAAUCCCGUUUAUACCAACCACAGGGAUGUUAUUUAAUAACGUUUCUAAGAGUCGAGUUGUUUGGGAAUGCAGCUCUAAAUGGGUGGUAAAUUUCACCUAAUGCUAAAUAUAAGCGAGAGACCGAUAGCGAACAAGUACAGUGAUGGAAAGAUGAAAAGAACUUUGAAAAGAGAGUUAAAUAGUACGUGAAAUUGUUGAAAGGGAAACGAUUAAAGUCAGUCAUGCCGACGGGAAUCAACUUAGGGGAAACUCUGGGUGCACUUCUUCGCUUGGCAGGUCAACGUCGAUUUUGAAUGUCAUAAAAUAAUUGGGGGAAGGUAGCUCCUUCGGGAGUGUUAUAGCCCUUGAUAGAUGUGAUGUUUGGGGUCGAGGAUUGCAACGGAUACCCUUCGGGGCUAGCCGCCUGAUCUCUAAUUGGUGUUGGGUUACGGAUAGCAUGCUGACCGUGAUCUAAUUACUGGUUAAAAGGUUAGAGUGUGCAUAAAUUCGUUAAGGACGUUGACGUAAUGGCUUUAAACGACCCGUCUUGAAACACGGACCAAGGAGUCUAACAUGUGUGCGAGUGUUAGGGUAUUAAACCCAGACGCGAAAUGAAAGUGAGUGUAGGUGGGAUCCUUUAUUGGAGCACCAUCGACCGAUCUUGAGAUUUAUCGAUAGAAUUGAGUUAGAGC